rnacentral:rRNA from 1 species
UCGAGGAUCAUUCGCAAUGGGGGAAACCCUGACGGUGCGACGCCGCGUGGAGGAUGACGGCCUUCGGGUUGUAAACUCCUGUCAUCAGAGAGUAAAGCCGUGCGGUGAACAGCCGCGCGGUGUGAUAGUAUCUGAAGAGGAAGGGACGGCUAACUUCGUGCCAGCAGCCGCGGUAAUACGAAGGUCCCAAGCGUUGUUCGGAAUUACUGGGCGUAAAGCGUGUGUAGGCGGCAGGGUAAGUCAGAUGUGA